UACGUAGGGUGCGAGCGUUAAUCGGAAUUACUGGGCGUAAAGCGUGCGCAGGCGGUUGUGCAAGACAGAUGUGAAAUCCCCGGGCUCAACCUGGGAACUGCAUUUGUGACUGCACAGCUUGAGUGCGGCAGAGGGGGAUGGAAUUCCGCGUGUAGCAGUGAAAUGCGUAGAUAUGCGGAGGAACACCGAUGGCGAAGGCAAUCCCCUGGGCCUGCACUGACGCUCAUGCACGAAAGCGUGGGGAGCGAACAGG
rnacentral:rRNA from 1 species